UACGGAGGGGGCUAGCGUUGUUCGGAAUUACUGGGCGUAAAGCGCACGUAGGCGGCUUUGUAAGUUAGAGGUGAAAGCCCGGAGCUCAACUCCGGAACUGCCUUUAAGACUGCAUCGCUUGAACGUCGGAGAGGUAAGUGGAAUUCCGAGUGUAGAGGUGAAAUUCGUAGAUAUUCGGAAGAACACCAGUGGCGAAGGCGACUUACUGGACGACUGUUGACUCUGAGGUGCGAAAGCGUGGGGAGCAAACAGG
rnacentral:rRNA from 1 species